GUUUCCAACACAUUGUAAAUGACGGAUCUUAUUUCGGAUCAGGACAGACCUGCUGCCAACCACAAAGCAUCAGAGCCAUUCCUUGAAAUCAGCGGCUGUUCUUUUCCCUCCCUCUCGCCCGCUCAUCCAAAAAGUUGCUCUCUCACGAUUCCUGCACUCUUUGACCAGAACGAUGUGUUGCUGUUUGUCCAGCUCCGCUAGGAUCCAAGCGGCCGACUUGGGAUCAGGACUGUUUCAGGAUCGGCAGCCUUUGUGUUGGCUUGAGGUGCUCAUUGCAUAUUUACACAAAAGUCGAACAGUUUGUCUCACGAUCUUCAAAAUAAAAUUGCAGCUACUCGGGGUCGUCUUGAAUUAAACAAAGACAUUACUGGCAUCGUUCUAUUUGCCUGUUGAUGUUUAAUUAAUCAGGCACUGGGAUGUCCCAGGGCACUUUCACUGCCCAGUAUCUGAUUAAUCCAAUUGCCUCUGUCUGAUAUUGACUGACCCUGCUCCAUCGGUCUCUGGGGAAGAGAAUUCUGGAUUCACAACCCUCUGAGAGAAAAACCUUUCUCCUCAAAGCUGUCCUCAAGGCACAGAUAGCCAAGCGAUACCAAAGAUUUGAAAAGAGACCACUAACAACAUGCUUGUUAAUAAGAGCUUCCUAAAGGUUUAAUGUUCAAUGGCUCCAGCCCCAGCAGGCAUGAAUGAUGUUAAUGCUGUGGUGCAAUGAAACCAGAGAGAAAUGAAGAAGGAACGGGCCAGGGCCUCCAGGAACCACCAGCAAAUACUGAACACUCUCCACAAGAAGAUUUUGAAGGUGAAGCUCCCCUCAGGAUGUUCAGGAGGUGCAGGAAGAGCAGAGUCUGUUGUUAUCAAUUCCAUUUCCUCCAGAUGCACGAGGCACAGACGGAGGAUGUCCCAGGACAUUGGGACUGAUUUUUGUUAGCUGCUGUAAUGAGAUCUGCAACAUGAAGGAUUGAAUUAUUCUAAGAUUGGGCAGUAGGCUUCGGCAAUAUAGCUAGCUUUCCCCAGCGUACAGCAUGUUAGAUUGUAUGAAUGUCAAGUUGAGGCAAUUAUACAAAUCAAUCCGGAUUCAAAUUUACACAGUACAAUAUAGUUCUAUUCUAUCAAUGUGUAAGUGAUCUGUGAUCAUCGGUAUCACUUCUUAUAAGAUUCACCACAUGCAAUCCAUUGUCAAUUUCUUGUGUUCUAUCCCCAAACUCCAGAAUCGGUCAGAAUUUAUAUUUAGAGUGUUGCCUUUAAGUAUUGGAGUUGAAGUCAACUCAUGCAGGCCAGUAUUCCACCGGCUUAAGGAAACCCAGGAACAUUAUGACGAUGCAGUGUCUGGGGUAAACCACCAGGACAGAUGUACUGAAUUGAUUUUAUGGUUUGCCUCACACUACUGAAGCCCCUCAUGACAUGAGCAACUUUAAAUCCAACUGAACACAGCACAUCACAAACUAAUCAACAGGAAUAUAGCCCACAUUCAGCAAUCAUGGUUUCGCAUUGAGACCUAAUGUCUGUAGGAGAUGCUUGUGAGAGAAUUGGUAUUUGCACUUUUAUAGUUAUUUUUCUAACCCAUGUCCACUGAAAACAUCAGAGUAAACCAUUUGACAUCACUUCACAAGAGGGCUAUCAGGUUUAAUCUGACACCAAACUAGUGUAGUGAUGUUAGGGUAGAGGAGAUUGAAAACUGUAUUCAAGGAGUAGUUUAUUAGAGGGGGUAGACAUAGAGGGAGAAAGACGUUUAAGAAGAAAGGUCUAAUGCUUAGGACCUAGGGAGCUGAAGGUACAGCCAUCCAUGAGGGAGUGAUUAAAAUUGUAACUCUAGCAAAUCUAAAGCUAGCUAUAAGAAAAAUAGUUGGUUGCUGAAUGAAACAUGAUGAAGUAUUCAGAUACUCGAUAUCAGUGGAGCAUUUUUCUGGCAUAGAACCAUACAGUCAUACAGCAUGGAAUCAAACCCUUCAGUCCAACCAGUCCAUGCUGAACAUAAUCCCAAACUAAACUAGUCCCACCUGCCUGCUUUUGGCCCAAUUCCCUCCAAACCUUUCCUAUUCGUUAACCUAUCCUAAAUGUCUUUUAAAUGUUGUAAUUGUACCUACAUCCACAACUUCCUCAGGAAGUGGACAGAUGCGGACAACAGAAUCUUUAAAUCUAAACAUAAACUCUGACAGAUUCUGGAGUUUGGGCAUAGAAUACAAGAAAUUGACAAUGGAUUGUAUGGGCUGAAUCUUCUAAGAAGUGAUACCAAAGCCACAUUUAGAGUCUGUUGACUUGGAAACUAUUAAAUGAAACCUAAAAACAUAGGACAUAGAACGGAACAGCACAGAAACAGUCCCUUUUGCCCAUCACAUCUGUGCAGACAAUAAUGCCUUUCUAAACUAAUCCCUUCUGCCUGCAUAUGGUCCAUAUCCCUCUAUUCCCUACUUAUUCAUGUGUCAAUCUAAAUGUCUCUUAAGCUUUGCUAUUAAAUCUGUCUCUAACCCCUACCCUUCAUCGUGUAAAUUUCCACAAUCCUAUAAUUAGAGAUAGUAGAGCAUAGAUUAAGAAUUUGUAGGCUGUAUUUCAUCAAAAGUGCCCCUGAAUGUCCACUGUAACCACCACACAAGGUUUGUAGACACCUCAGUGAAAUAAUCUGUGUACAUUAUUUUUUCAGGGCUUCUGCAGAUCUUCCAUGUUCCAUGUUAGACAGAACAUGAAUUAAUAGAGAAGUGAAUGGCAUUAUUGGUACAAUAUAAAUCAAGGAGCUAAUAUGCUAUAUAGACUCAUGGAAUUUAAAGCUUAUUGCCACUUAAAUUCAUACACACUUCUCCCGCAACUUCAUUUUUAACAGUCUCCAUUUGAGUUUCUAUCCCAGGCACAGAACUGAAAGACCCCUAAUAACAAAAAUUACUCUCAUUGUAACCAUGCUAUUAUUCCCCGCCACCACCCCCACUCCCCCACUUUUUCCUUGAUCCCUCUGCAGCCAUUCAUUCUCUAUCCUCCACCUCCAAUACCUUUCGUCAUUGUCCAGCUUAAUUUCUUUGCUUGCACACUCACAGUUACAAUCAUUACCACAGCAUCUCUAAGCAUCUCUUCUUGUUUCAGCACCUUCAACUUCUGAAGUCUUCUAAGAAUUUCUCCUUGGAUACUUUCAGUUUGUCAUCCACAUUCUAGUCCUUGAUGACAUCAACUUAAGAAAAUGAGCUAAUGACACACACAACUCUAUCUGUCCAUGCCCCAUCUUGAUCCCCCACUCGUAUUGUGCUAUUGGAUUACCUGGGUGGCAGCCUUGGAUGCCAUAAAACCAGUUAAACAUUUACAAGAUCACCUUUGUCUCCAGUACAAACUCUCUUUGAAUCUUUGCAAUGAUUUCAUUUCUUUUCCCAAUUAUUCCCUCAAUUUGAACCAGUUAGUCCCUAAAUUCACUGUCAUAUUCAAAUCUGAAUUGUAACUCUCUCCCUACACCCUUUCUAUCGCACAUACCACCUUCAAUUUUUCCCUUAUCCAGACAUUUCUGAACUAAUUAUUUGUGCCUUUAUUACUUUCUGACACAACUGCUUAAAUGUUUUUCUAACCUCCAUAUUCUAUAAACAUUGGGUAUCCAAACUAAUUCUCAAAGAAUCUAAACUAUAUCCAAGUCCAGUUCAUCAACCACUUCUGUCCAUCUUCUUGCAUCAGUUUCUGGUUGCCCAACACCUAAGUUUAAAAUUCUCAUUGUUGAGUUUGAAUGUUUUUAUGGCCUUGCACCCUUCUAUCUCUGUAACCUCCCUCGGCUCUAUGGAAGCUCCACAGAAUUCUCUAUUCCACUAACUUAGCCCUCAUGUGUUUUCCUCCCUUCGUCGCUUCAUUUCUGUCUGUCACUUCAGCUAUCUGGGGCCCAAUUUCCAGAAUGUUUUAUAAUCUUCUUAAAACCAAGCUCUUUGACUAAGCAUUUUGUCGCCCCCUUCCAUCCCUGACUUGGAUGUCAUGCCCAUGCUUUUUGUUUGAUUAUUUUUCUCUGAGGCAUUUUGGAAUACCUACAUUACAAGUGCUAACACAAUUGCAAGUUAUUGCUCUGUAUAAUAAAUCUGUUGAGUCUACCUGAUUGCUCUGUGGUGUAAGUUUUGCAGUGGAAUAUAGAAUCAUUUGACAUAUUAUUGAUGUUGAAAAGAUUGCAGUUUCGGCAAGGUUAGUGCAUAAACAUGGAAUAUACACUGGCUGGGCCUCAAUACAUAGUGUGUAGUAAAUUGUCAUUUACAUGAUAACAGUGAUUGCUCUUCAAAAUAAUUCAUUGUCUGUCAAGCACUUA